GACGAAGGAUGCAAGCGUUAUCCGGAUUCACUGGGUUUAAAGGGUGCGUAGGAGGGCAGGUAAGUCAGUGGUGAAAUCUUUGGGCUUAACCCGAAAACUGCCAUUGAUACUAUCUGUCUUGAAUGCGGUGGAGGUGAGCGGAAUAUGUCAUGUAGCGGUGAAAUGCUUAGAUAUGACAUAGAACACCGAUUGCGAAGGCAGCUCGCUACACCUGCAUUGACUCUGAGGCACGAAAGCGUGGGGAUCAAACAGG
rnacentral:rRNA from 1 species